rnacentral:rRNA from 1 species
CAAUAGCGUAUAUUAAAGUUGUUGCGGUUAAAAAGCUCGUAGUUGGAUUUCUGCCGAGGACGACCGGUCCGCCCUCUGGGUGAGUAUCUGGUUCGGCCUGGGCAUCUUCUUGGAGAACGUAUCUGCACUUGACUGUGUGGUGCGGUAUCCAGGACUUUUACUUUGAGGAAAUUAGAGUGUUUCAAGCAGGCACACGCCUUGAAUACAUUAGCAUGGAAUAAUAAUAUAGGACCUUCGUUCUAUUUUGUUGGUUUCUAGAACUUAGGUAAUGAUUAAUAGGGACAAUUGGGGGGCAUUCGUAUUAACGCGUCAGAGGUGGAAUUCUUGGAUUGCGUUACGACGAACUACUGCGAAAGCAUUUGCCAAAGAUGUUUUCAUUGAUCAAGAACGAAAGUAUGGGGAUCGAAGACGAUUAGAU